UUAUUUCCUUAGAUAAGUGAGUGUUUAGUUUUUGAGAGAAAAUUAUCCCAACUUUUGUUUACCUAUCCUUUCCAUAAAAAAAUAUAAACACUACAGACAUAUCAGAACAAGAAUUUUCCACAAUAAUUACCGACAAAUAUCCUCCUCUCAAAUCCUUAGGUGAAGAAUAACUUAGAAUCCUAAAUCUCUUCCUAUCCAAGAAGAAGAAUGGAAGAUAAAUCCUUUCCUUCAUCUCAUAUACUCAUCUUUCCACUUCCCUUACAAGGCCAUAUAACCCCUAUGCUACACCUAGCUGAACUUUUCUGCCUUGCAAAUCUUAAAGUAACCUUCCUUAAUACAAACAAGAACCACAAACUCCUGACCCAACACACCGACAUCCAAGCCCGUUUUGCACGGUACCCAAGUUUCAGGUUCGAAACGAUACCCGACAGUCCAUCCAAGGACCAGCCACAGGCACAGGCACAGGCACAGGCACAGGCACAGGAACAGGAGCAAAAACGAGCACAGAAGCAGGCACAGGCGCAGGCACAGGAACAGGAGCAAAAACAAGCACAGGAGCAGGCACAGGCACAGGCACUGGCACUGGCUGUUAAGAGAAGUAAUCUGAAGGAUGCGUUGGAGGCACUACACGAGGCGCUGGCACCGAGUGCAGAGCCUCUUCUAAGAGAGCUUUUGUUUGGAACAAGAGAUAAGAUAACAUGUUUUAUAAUAGAUGGGUGGCUGAGAUUUGCUUAUGAGAUUGCAAGUGAAGCUGAGGUGCCAGUGAUUGCAUUCAGGUGUCCAAGUGCAUGCUGCAUCUGGGCUUAUUUCUGUAUUCCACAUAUUAUUGAAGCAGGAGAAGUACCUUUCAAAGAUAACGAAGAAAUGGAUCAGCUAGUCAAGAAUGUACCUGGGAUGGAUAGCUUCCUUCGCUGUCGUGAUCUUCCCAGCUUCUGUAGAGAGCAAGACAUGUCUUCCUGUUGUGAGCUUCAAGAAUAUUUCGUGGGUGAGAUACAGAGAACCAAGUAUGCUCACUCUUUCAUUCUCAAUACAUUUGAGGAUCUGGAGGGUCCGAUUCUCUCUCAAAUCCGAUCACAAUGUUCGACGGUUUACUCCAUUGGACCACUGCAUGCACACCUAAAAUACAGACUUGGCAAAGGGGAAACACCAUUGUCAAACAAUUCUAGUAGUAGCUUGUGGGAAGUGGAUAAAAGUUGCAUAUCAUGGUUGGACCAAAAGCCCGACAAAUCUGUUAUUUACGUAAGUUUGGGCAGCACUACUACUCUCACAAAGGACCAGCUCACGGAACUUUGGACGGGACUAGUGCAGAGCAAGAGGUACUUCCUGUGGGUGGUAAGUCCCAAUGUCAUUAUAGAAGGUGGGCUCGAUAGUCCAACCCCCAAUGACCUCUUGGAAGGGACCGAGAAGAGAGGAUGCAUAGUGAAAUGGUCCCCACAAGAUGAGGUAUUGACCCACCGAGCCAUCGGUGGGUUCUUGACCCAUAGUGGAUGGAACUCAACACUAGAGAGCAUAGUGGCUGGAGUGCCAAUGCUUUGCUGGCCUCACUUUGCUGAUCAGCAAUUAAACAGCAGGUUUGCAAGUGAAGUCUGGAGAAUUGGGUUGGAUAUGAAGGAUACAUGUGAUAGAACAAUAGUGGAGAAAAUGAUCAACGAUCUGAUGGAUGGGAAGAAAGAUGAGCUGCAAAGAUCAGCGAAAAGAGUUUCACAAGAAGCAAAGAAAAGCAUCUCAGAAGGAGGAUCCUCCUAUUCUAAUCUUAACCGUUUAAUCGAGGACAUAAUAGCAAUGUCCAACAAAUGAGAGCAUUGGAUUUUUUUAUCCUUGAACCAGUGAAGGCAAACAGGUGCCUUCUCUUCAUCUAAACCUUCUCUUCCUGGAUUUUCAGCAGCUGCAAUCUCUCUUCAGCACAAGUAUCAAUCUCCUGCUUCGGAACGAGGUUAAAAUAAAACUUCUACAAUUAAAUAUUUAGAUCUUUCCCAACAAAGGACAGAGCAACAUCAUGGGACAAAGGGAAACAAUAUCAUCUUAGAAGAUCCAGUCAUUGCGAAUAUUCAGCUGUAUCAAGUUUCAGGUCUGAUUAGCCAGCCUUAUGGUUAAACUCCUACAAACACAGAUUAAGUUUAUGGCCCGUGGCUACUAUUCAAUUGAUUAAUUGUAAUUAUCUUAGGUCGCCUAUUCUUGUAAUCUUCAAGCAAGGAGAUAGGUGCAUUUGGUUGCUCAGCCAAAUUGUUUUUCUCCAUUUCGAGUUGCUCACUAGUAGAAGCAUUUGUAGCAUUAAGAGAUUUCUUCUUUGAAGCUUGCGAUGUUGCUUCUAGGAAUCCAUCAAAACAAGAAAAUUACACAGCUUAUAUACAAACCAAAUGAAAACAAGAGCACAUUCUAUGUGACAUAUGCAAUGAAAGUUGGUUUCCUAUCUGCAGGAAUAAAUGCCAAACAUAUACGUCAUCCAAAUACCUCAUGUUUCACCAUCAAAGCAAGAAAAUUGAAGCUUCAGAGUUCUCAAGGUGAGUUGCACCAUAGAAGUUCAAAAAACACCAACAUGUUGAUCAUUUUUUUUCAUACAUCAUGUAAAGACAGAUCACCACGAACUUUGAAUAGGUACAACAAUCUAACGAAGACAAGCAUUGAUGCUUACAAAUUCGAUAUUGUUAUUUAAUUAGCCGGUUUCGGCGAACAGUUGAUAUAUAAAAUUUCAUAGAGAUAGCAAGGCCAAA